AUACGGAGGAUCCGAGCGUUAUCCGGAUUUAUUGGGUUUAAAGGGUGCGCAGGCGGCCGUGCAAGUCAGCGGUGAAAGCCCGGGGCUCAACCCCGGAAGUGCCGUUGAUACUGCAUGGCUGGAAUGCGGUCGAGGCAGGCGGAAAGGGGCGGGUAGCGGGGGAAUGCGUAGAUAUGCCACAGAACGCCGAUAGCGGAGGCAGCUCGCCAGGCCUGCAUUGACGCUCGGGCACGAAAGCGUGGGGAUCGAACAGGAUUAGAUACCCUGGUAGUCCAGGCCGUAAACGAUGGGCGCUCGUCGUCGGCGGCAGACAGUCGGCGGCCAAGCGAAAGCGAUAAGCGCCCCACCUGGGGAGUACGGUCGCAAGGCUGAAACUCAAAUGAAUUGACGGGG
rnacentral:rRNA from 1 species